rnacentral:tRNA from 1 species
UAUAUUUUAGUAUAAUAGGUACAAUAGUUUUUGAUACUAUAGGAGGUGGUUUAAUUCCAUUAAAUGUAA